UCGACGAAGUUUCGAGGAAGCUUGCUUCCAAAGAGACUUAGUGGCGAACGGGUGAGUAACACGUAGGUAACCUGCCCAUGUGUCCGGGAUAACUGCUGGAAACGGUAGCUAAAACCGGAUAGGUAUACAGAGCGCAUGCUCAGUAUAUUAAAGCGCCCAUCAAGGCGUGAACAUGGAUGGACCUGCGGCGCAUUAGCUAGUUGGUGAGGUAACGGCCCACCAAGGCGAUGAUGCGUAGCCGGCCUGAGAGGGUAAACGGCCACAUUGGGACUGAGACACGGCCCAAACUCCUACGGGAGGCAGCAGUAGGGAAUUUUCGUCAAUGGGGGAAACCCUGAACGAGCAAUGCCGCGUGAGUGAAGAAGGUCUUCGGAUCGUAAAGCUCUGUUGUAAGUGAAGAACGGCUCAUAGAGGAAAUGCUAUGGGAGUGACGGUAGCUUACCAGAAAGCCACGGCUAACUACGUGCCAGCAGCCGCGGUAAUACGUAGGUGGCAAGCGUUAUCCGGAAUCAUUGGGCGUAAAGGGUGCGUAGGUGGCGUACUAAGUCUGUAGUAAAAGGCAAUGGCUCAACCAUUGUAAGCUAUGGAAACUGGUAUGCUGGAGUGCAGAAGAGGGCGAUGGAAUUCCAUGUGUAGCGGUAAAAUGCGUAGAUAUAUGGAGGAACACCAGUGGCGAAGGCGGUCGCCUGGU
rnacentral:rRNA from 1 species